GUCCAGGUAACUUUGCCCAGUCCCUUCCCGUCCCCCACCUCCAAUGUAAACACCUCGCAAAGUGAGUCUUUCGAUCCCCCUCCCCGGGGCCUCGACGGCCCUUGGCGUCACGUAGAGACCUUUCCCAGAGCUCGCGGGGUGGAAGCGGCGUCGGGCAGGACCAGACGGACUGGCCCCCAGCCUCUGGUAGACACACCGCCGGCUCGCCGGGCUGGAGAACUUUGCGAAGCGCCCCAAACCGCUCCCGGUUUCCACUUCCAGCCAUUUCUCUCCUUCUCCCCUCACCAAGAGCGGGGACGGAGCAAGCCUUCGCCACCUGUCUCUGGCACCCGCCGAGGGAAGACAGGCCAAUGGAAAGAGGGCAGAGGUUCACACCCCACCCCCGAACCCCAGCGCCUGGCUGCCCGGAGGUGGCUCCAUAGCCCGAGGGAACCGACGCCCCCGGGCCGGCUGCCUGCUCCCCCACCGCACGGGCCCCACCCCCAAUCCUUCCGGCGCCCCAGCGCCCACCCACCCGGGCGCGGGAGUGGGAGGGUGCCGCGUGGGCAGCCGGAGCAACAGGCGUGGGAGCAGCGCUCCUCGCACUUCCUGGCUCCAGAAGGCUCGGUCGCGUCCCUCUUACCUUCCGCGAAGCCAGCCCGGGCCCCGCGCCCGGCGCCCCGCGCGCGCGAGGAAGCUGCAGCCGGGAGCCGGGGGCCGCGGAGGCGCCGAGCGCCCAGCAGCGCGGGGAAGCGCCCAGCAGCCGCCGCUUGCGCGGCUCCUCCUCGCCAGCGAAGUCUCGCUCGCUGCCUCCCUCGCUCGGUCGGUUCGUGCGUCCGUCCGUCCGUGGGGCCCUCCCUCCCCCGCCGCCACUGCCGCCGCCACUGCCGCCGCCACUGCCGCCGCCGCCGCUGCCGCAGCCUCCGCCGCUCCAGCCCCGGCUCGGCAGUGCGUCCCCUCCCCGCCUCGCCGCUCCGCUUGCGGGCUCGCGGGCUCCCUCGCUCGCUCCCUGCCCCCGCCGCUGCCGGCGCCGCGCCGAGCGGAGCCCGGCCGGCCACGGGCUGCCUCUCUCUGGGUCCCUUUCCCGAGGGGGGAGGUGGUGGGGGCGCGGCGCAGGCGGGGCGGGGAGGAGAGGAGAGUCCGGGGGAGGCGGCAAGGCUGCGCCCUCGGCUCUCUUCCGAUCCCCGCGGGCCCUGCGGCCCCAGGCCGGGCCGGAGAGCGCCGGGCCGGAGAGAGCCGAGCCGCCAGGCAGCGGAGGGAGAGAGGAGGAGGACCCGGAGUCUCGCCGCGGGAGGGUGCCCAGGGCGAGGGCGUGCGAGGGGGAGUGACUCCGCGCGCGAGGGGCAGCAGCAUCUGCUUGAGACCAAGCCCGGCCACCUGGCAAGGUGGGGCCCCCUACCGCGGAGGCUUCGCGGCUGGCCCCCGGCUCUCAGCUCCGAGUGCAGAGGCUGA
rnacentral:lncRNA from 1 species